GAAAAUCAGAGCAAUCAUAGUUCAGCCUACUACGACUGAAACAAAAGGGAACGAGAUUGAUUGUCAAAAGGCAAGAUAAGUUGCUUAACAAGCAAGAGUGUGGUACUAACCAAUGAUGGUAAUCAACCACAAGGAAAAAUGAGAUAUGAUUGACCUAUACAUGAGAGGAUUUAUAAGGCAAGAUAUUCUUCUAAGCACGAGAGGUCUUAUAAGAUGAACAAAGAUU
rnacentral:lncRNA from 1 species